ensembl:snoRNA
GGUCAAUGGUGUGCACGGUGUUGGUCCGUGUUAUGUGCUGUUGCUGGACUGUGUUUUGCAGGCUGAGCAGCAGUGCUCACUCCACACCUGCAGCCACAGAACAUCUGGAGAUCAUAGUACUGGCCUUUGACGUCUUUGCAGACACGUUAUCAUCGGUCAGCCUCCAAACUCUCCGACAAAC